GUAGUUAGCCGGGGCUUCCUCCUUGGCUACCGUCACUUUCUUCGUCACCAAGGACAGAGGUUUACAACCCGAAAGCCUUCAUCCCUCACGCGGCGUUGCUGGGUCAGGCUUGCGCCCAUUGCCCAAUAUUCCCCACUGCUGCCUCCCGUAGGAGUCUGGACCGUGUCUCAGUUCCAGUGUGGCCGAUCAGCCUCUCAGCUCGGCUACCCAUCGUCGACUUGGUGGGCCGUUACCCCGCCAACUAUCUAAUGGGACGCGAACCCCUCCAAUAGCGGAUUGCUCCUUUGACCUCAUCCUGAUGUCAGGUCUGGUCUUAUGCGGUAUUAGCAACCGUUUCCGGUUGUUAUCCCCCUCUACUGGGCAGGUUGUUCACGCGUUACUCACCCGUUCGCCACUAAGUUAUCAACCGAAAUCAAUAACUCCGUUCGACUUGCAUGUGUUAGGCACGCCGCCAGCGUCGUCCUGUAGCCAGGAGUCAAACUACUGA
rnacentral:rRNA from 1 species